UACGUAGGGUGCAAGCGUUGUCCGGAAUUAUUGGGCGUAAAGAGCUCGUAGGCGGUUUGUCGCGUCUGCCGUGAAAGUCCGGGGCUCAACUCCGGAUCUGCGGUGGGUACGGGCAGACUAGAGUGAUGUAGGGAGACUGGAAUUCCUGGUGUAGCGGUGAAAAUGCGCAGAUAUCAGGAGGAACACCGAUGGCGAAGGCAGGUCUCUGGGCAUUUAACUGACGCUGAGGAGCGAAAGCAUGGGAGCGAACAGG
rnacentral:rRNA from 1 species